CGGGGCGGGGCGGGCGCGUCCGCACCGGCGGCGAUGGCGGCGGACGGCGACUGGCAGGAUUUCUAUGAGUUCCAGGACCCGGCCCGCAGCCCCCAGGACCAGGAGAACCACAGCGCGGGCCCCGAGGCCGCGCCCGGGCCGGGCGGGGCAGGCGGCGGCUUUCCGGCGCUGGCCCGCAGCCUGGAGGAGAAGCUGAGCCUGUGUUUCCGCCCCUCGGGUCCGGGCGCCGAGCCCCCGAGGGCGGCCGUGCGGCCCAUCACCGAGCGCAGCCUCCUGCAGGGGGACGAGAUUUGGAAUGCCCUGACAGAUAAUUACGGAAACGUAAUGCCUGUGGACUGGAAGUCAUCCCAUACCAGGUCCCUGCACUUGCUCACUCUGAACCUCUCAGAAAAAGAGAUAAGUGACAGCUUGCUCUUCGACACAUCAGACGAGGAGGAGUUGAGAGAACAGCUGGAUAUGCACUCGAUCAUCGUCUCCUGUGUUAACGACGAGCCCCUCUUCACUGCAGAUCAGGUUAUUGAAGAAAUUGAAGAAAUGAUGCAGGAGUCACCUGACCCGGAAGACGAUGAAGCACUCACACAGUCAGAUCGGCUUUCGAUGCUCUCCCAGGAAAUUCAAACUCUGAAGAGGUCUAGCACAAGCAGCUAUGAAGAGAGAGUAAAAAGACUCCCAGUAUCUGAGUUAAAUGAACUCCUGGAAGAAAUUGAGACUGCCAUUAAGGAAUACUCCGAAGAGCUGGUGCAGCAGUUGGCCCUGCGAGAUGAACUAGAGUUUGAAAAGGAAGUGAAAAACAGCUUUAUUUCUGUUCUCAUUGAAGUGCAAAACAAACAGAAGGAGCACAAAGAAACAGCCAAGAAAAAAAAGAAACUCAAGAAUGGCAGCUCUCAGAACGGGAAGAAUGAGAGAAGUCAUAUGCCCGGCACAGCGUGCUAUAGACACCGUGCCGGAUGAAAUGGACGAAGCCCAUGGCCUCCUGGAGCUUACUUCUAAUGAGGGAGACAGGCAACAAGCAAGAAAAAGAAUGAGCAGACAGUGUGAUUUUAGUACUUAACAACAGUUAUUCCCUAUGAGAAAAAAAAUGGACCACCAUCUGUUGAAGAUCUUCAAAUAUUAACAAAAAAGACAAAACCCUCAGAUUCCCGAUAGGAGAGGCUGAUUCACCAGGUUCCUCAGGAGAGGAGGCAGCAGCCUGCCUGCUUCAUGGAGUCUGGCCUUCAUUUUGGUCUCUUCUUUAGAAGUUCCAAGAAGGCUGGCAGAUAUGCUCCUUGAGGACAGCUCACUGUUCAUUUGUCUGUUUCUCCAGCUGUGGCAUCUGCAGCACUAGGUUCCUGUGCUCUGAGCUCACAGAUGUGCAUGUGACGGGAACCUGCUUUCAGCCUUUAUGUUCUUCGUGCCAUGAAAGAGGACAGUGAAAAGGUUCCGAGCUUGUUAACUGAUUAUAUACUGAAAGUCCUGUGUCCUACAUAGGGCGGCCUCUCGCAGGAGCCGUCUCCUGUGGCCUGGACGCCGGAUUUCACACAGCAGUCCUCCGAGAGCGGCCCCCUCCCUCCUGCUAGCGGAAGCUCGGCAACGUGAACUUGGGUUUGUGACGCAGUAUUAAUAGACCACGCCUUCACUGAUCCUUCGUAUUAGGAACCAAGACAAACAUGGCACUAUUUUGAAUUCUAGGGAUUUUUUUUGUUAAAUAUGAACAAUUAUGAAUUCUUCAACUUUGAGAGUCAGGGGAUGUAAUAUGAACUAUGCAUGUGCAGUUAUAUUUUUUAUGUACUGACCAUAUGCCCAUUUGAGGUUUCAUGGCUUUCUAGAUAUAAACUACAUUGAAGGACAGGUUAAAGCAGCGGUUGCCAACCGGUGGUCCGCGAGCCACUGGUGGUCCGCGAGGUCUGAAAGGUUGGCGGCCGCUGGGUUAAAGCAUUGAGAGAUUCAUAGCACAGCGACGGCAAAACCAACACUGAUUGUUGUAAGAGAACCGUCAGUGUAAGUAUCAGUAUUGCCCAGAGACGGAAGCUUAAACUUGGGCUGUUGUUAGGAUGAAACGGGAAUGUGUCAUCUUGGUUUAAUCCUCAGUGAGAACGGGAACUGUUGGCGAUGGUGUUAGAGGCUGCUGCGGCGUUCACCAUGGAUCAAAUUUUAACCAUUAGGUUGCCAUUUACUUUCAGAAUCUUGUGCUGUUUAACGUUAGAUGUUUGAGUUUUGUUUUAUGUGUCUGUGGAGAAGUGUCCUUUAAAGGGAGUGUGUCUAUCGUUAAGGUGCUUAAGAAGCCGAAAGCUGCAGCUUUGCCCAUCCCCCACGGCUGUUAUAGCUUCACGCCUGUGCGCCUCCCCAAUACUAACUCUGGAAACAGCUGCUCAUGGAUACAUCACCAGCCAUGAAGCACUUCCGCCCGUUCCAAUCAAGUCAGUGCCCUUUAAUAAACGUUGGGAAAAGAUA